UACGGGGGGGGCAAGCGUUGUUCGGAAUUACUGGGCGUAAAGGGCUCGUAGGCGGUUUGUCGCGUCGGGAGUGAAAUCCACUGGCUUAACUGGUGGCUUGCUUUCGAUACGGGCAGACUGGAGGUAUGCAGGGGAGAACGGAAUUCCUGGUGUAGCGGUGAAAUGCGCAGAUAUCAGGAGGAACACCGGUGGCGAAGGCGGUUCUCUGGGCAUGUCCUGACGCUGAGGAGCGAAAGUGUGGGGAGCGAACAGG
rnacentral:rRNA from 1 species